GGGGAUGACUGGAUUUGACGGCAAGACGAAAUGGUACGUAAGCACGCGGAGGCUCGUUGGCUACCUCCUAAAACUGAGUGAACACAAAAUUAAUUGGCAACAACAAGUAUGCUCUCGCUGCUUGAUCGAAGUACAGUAGAUCUUUCGCUUAAUUUCUUCACCAGGUGAGGAAACGAGACGUCGCUCCGAGGAUGUUGUUCCGAAUCCGGAGAUUCAGCGGCGCAGGUUAAAUCGGAAAUAGCCUUUGCAGGCCUCGAUGCAGGGGUGAAGCUUUAGAGGAUAAGGUUGCAGUUGGUGGCUUGGGUCUUGCUGCAGCACGAAAAUCAAGACCAAGAUAAGCGUGUAGAAAGCGUAUGGUUUCCUUGUGCGGACGAGGGUUCGACUCCCUCCAUCUCCAC
rnacentral:tmRNA from 1 species